rnacentral:rRNA from 1 species
AACGAACGCUGGCGGCGUGGAUUAGGCAUGCAAGUCGAACGGAUGUUUAGCUUUUUCGAACAUCAGUGGCGAAAGGGUGAGUAACACGUGGGAUACCUGCCUUAGAGUUCGGACAACCUGUCGAAAGAUGGGCUAAUACCGGAUACGUUCAUAUACUUUCGAGUAUAUGAGGAAAGAUAGGGACCUCUUCGGAGGCCUGUCACUCUUAGAUGGCCCGCGGCCUAUCAGCUAGUUGGUGAGGUAAUGGCUCACCAAGGCUAAGACGGGUAGCUGGUCUGAGAGGAUGGU